UACGGGGGGGGCAAGCGUUGUUCGGAAUUACUGGGCGUAAAGCGCACGUAGGCGGCUAUUCAAGUCGGGGGUGAAAGCCCGGGGCUCAACCCCGGAACUGCCCUCGAAACUAGGUAGCUAGAAUCUUGGAGAGGUCAGUGGAAUUCCGAGUGUAGAGGUGAAAUUCGUAGAUAUUCGGAAGAACACCAGUGGCGAAGGCGACUGACUGGACAAGUAUUGACGCUGAGGUGCGAAAGCGUGGGGAGCAAACAGG
rnacentral:rRNA from 1 species